CUCUCUCCUCUGAGCUGCUGGACCCUCUCCCUCUCUCCUCUCUGCUGCUGGCCUGCUCUCUCCUGCUGCCCCUGCCUUAAAAUGACUUCAAAAGAAAAACGACAACAAAAGAAACAAAGAAAGCAGGUGGAGAUGGACCAAAUGCAGCACUGCUACUCCGCCACUAUCAGCAGCACCUUCUCAAACCAACUAGAGACAGACAAUCCAGCUGCCGGCCAAUCAGCAACAUCCAUGUCCCACAAGUCAACAAAAAAAGAAACAGUGGACGAGUCUGCUCAAAAUGAAAAUGCUCUAAAAUCGACAACAUUACUACGGCCUCACUGCUGUCUGUGAGAGUCUAUGGUACAAUAGUGACUCAAACUCUCAAUGCACUUCAUAGAAUUAAGAGUUUAAUAGCCUCUUGAGUUUGUAAACGUCCUUAACGAAUUCCAACUUUGUCUUCCAGCCUUUAUAGACAUUGCGUGCCAUCCCUUUAAAAGGAAUCUUGCAGCUCAACUAGUUCCCUCUGAGCCUGAAGGCCCUGAGCUCAAGUUCCCUUCAACUGGGACGGACGGCAUGUUCAUGACGUGGCCUGUCAUGUUAUUUGUAUCUUGCAGAAUCAUCCAAAGCUCCCCACCAUCCUUCGAAGGAGAAACACAAAGAAAUGUGUUGUACAGGACAGUUAGUACCUGGAAGAUUUCAUUGAUAUCACAAGAUUCUGAGAUGCCAACCUUCUGAGGGCAACCCGCUGAUUGGUGACAAAGAUAUUAAAGCUAUGAAAACAUAUGGGAGUCAUGCAGGAAAGAAGGCAAGAGAAUGGAGUUCAGACAUGAUUGAAUGACAGAGAAGACUAGA